rnacentral:rRNA from 1 species
AGUGAACGCUGGCGGUAGGCCUAACACAUGCAAGUCGAACGGCAGCACAGUAAGAGCUUGCUCUUACGGGUGGCGAGUGGCGGACGGGUGAGGCAUACAUCGGAAUCUACUUUUUCGUGGGGGAUAACGUAGGGAAACUUACGCUAAUACCGCAUACGACCUACGGGUGAAAGCAGGGGAUCUUCGGACCUUGCGCGAUUGAAUGAGCCGAUGUCGGAUUGGCUAGUUGGCGGGGUAAAGGCCCACCAAGGCGACGAUCCGUAGAUGGUCUGAGAGGGUGGCAAGCACCGUGGGAACGCAGCCACGUCCAAGAGUCCUACGGGGGGCAGCGGUGGGGAAUAUUGGACAAUGGGGGCAAGCUUGAUACAGCCAUACGGCGUGGGUGAAAAAGGCCUUGGGGUUGUAAAGCCCUUUUGUUGGGAAAGAAAAGCAGCAGCUUAAUACCCCGCUGUUCUGACGGUACCAAACAAAUAAGCACCGGCUAACUUCGUG